UUCGCGUUCGCCAAGGCGUAGCCGGCGAUCUGGUUGCCGAGCUCGAUGCCUUCGGGCGAGUGGUAGUUCGGGAUCAUCACGUCGAUC
rnacentral:tRNA from 1 species